ensembl:rRNA 5S_rRNA 5S ribosomal RNA
GCUCACGGCCACACCGCCUGGUUCACGCCGGAUCUCGGAAGCUAAGAUAGGUUGGGCCUGGUUAGUACUUGGAUGGGAGACCGCCUGGGAAUACCAGGUGCUGUAAGCU